rnacentral:lncRNA from 1 species
CUUUGAGCAAUAUGUUUGUUCCUCUCUCAGGCAGGAUGCAUUGGUGCUCCAAUUCCUCAUCGCUGAGUGAGUCUAAUGAACUUGCUUGUGUGCAUCUUCUAAACACCUCCUAUGGCUUAUGCAGAGUACUCUGAUUCAACUUCCCAAUUGUGGGCUUUUUGCCCUUGUGCAAGUCAAAUCCCUCCUGCAUCCAAAYGCUGGUGAUGACCAAGGUGCGAGAGGAGAUGGUGCGGAAGAACCAGAAGUCCAUCUAUUCSUGGCUGGCUGACCACCCGGCCUCUCUGCUGAUCUUCUCUGCAUGUACCUAAAAGGUCAGGAAAACAAAUCAAUAAGGAAAAGGACCUCCUGCUCCUUUUAACCUAACCUGUAGGAAGGAGGGAAGGGAAAUAGCCAAUUACAUGAAAGGGAAUUUUAAAUCUACUUGAAAAAAGCACAGUGGGAGUGGGGGUUUGGAAGGACAGGUGUCGACAAGCCCCGUCUCUGCAGUUCACAGGGUCCCUUUAUGAACUUAAUCUUCUCCACAACAGAAUAUACGGGCAGAUCCACAUAGCUGAAAGGCAUGCCGUAAAAGAGGCACUAUGUCAGGUCUGUAAAGUAGGAGGGAAGGGCCCUCUCAUUUCAGCAUCGCUGACUGUGAAGGUCUCUGCAAGGGAGACCUUGGUUCACUGGGAGCUAGACUGAGACUCACCACAUGAUUUGAGGGCUAGUAUAUACUGACCGCUGUCUUGUACUGGCUGGGUUUGCCUCAAUGCUUUCCAUUUACCACUAUCCCAUUACCACUCCUCCAGGUGACCCGCUUCUAUCUUCUGUGCAUAACUGCAGCCCACGUUGCAGAGUAUGAGGAAGCUGGAGAGACGCUCCACAUUUGCAGGGCCCUGGACUCCUGCCCAAACAUCACUGGGACAGCAAGGCUGCUAAAUAAAGUUUUUGUCUCAACUCA